rnacentral:rRNA from 1 species
AUUGAACGCUGGCGGCAGGCCUAACACAUGCAAGUCGAGCGAGCGGCGGACGGGUGAGUAAUGUAUGGGAAACUGCCUGAUGGAGGGGGAUAACUACUGGAACCGGUAGCUAAUACCGCAUACCAUCAGAUGUGCCCAGAUGGGAUUAGCUCGUAGGUGUGGUAACGGCUCACCUUGGCGAAGAUCCCUAGCUGGGCUGCGAGGAUGACCAGGCACACUGGAACUGAGACACGGCCCAGACUCCUACGGGAGGCAGCAGUGGGGAAUAUGGCACAAUGGGCGCAAGCCUGAUGCAGCCAUGCCGCGUGUAGGAAGAAGGCUUUCGGGUGGUAAAGUACUUUCAGCGGGGAGGCGUUACCCACAGAGGAAGCACCGGCUAACUACGUGCCAGCAGCCGCGGUAAUUC